rnacentral:rRNA from 1 species
UACGUAGGGUGCAAGCGUUAAUCGGAUAUCUGGGCGUAAAGCGUGCGCAGGCGGCUAUGCAAGACAGAUGUGGAAAUCCCCGGGCUCAACCUGGGAACUGCAUUUGUGACUGCAUAGCUAGAGUACGGUAGAGGGGGAUGGAAUUCCGCGUGUAGCAGUGAAAUGCGUAGAUAUGCGGAGGAACACCGAUGGCGAAGGCAAUCCCCUGGACCUGUACUGACGCUCAUGCACGAAAGCGUGGGGAGCAAACAGG